GGCAUAAUGCAACUUAAAAGUAGUGAAAGUGAAUGGUUGUCUGUCCUAGAAAAUGAUGUAUGGAAGUUAUUUGAUAGUGAUAAUGAUAUUGGUCCUGUGUUGAAGUUGAGUUAUGAUCACUUACCAAAUUAUUUAAGGCACUGUUUUGUACAUUGUGCAAUGUUCCCUAAAGAUUAUGAGUUUGAUAAGGAGAAGUUAAUUCAAUUAUGGAUGGCACAAGGUUAUGUUCAAUGCUGGAGUCAAAGUGGAAAUGAAAAUUUAGAGGAUGUUGCUGAUGGAUACUUCAAUGAAUUAUUAUUUAGGUCAUUUUUUCAAAAGGAUGAGUAUCAUUUGGAUAGGGAUUAUUAUAAAAAGCAUGACCUUAUCCAUGACCUUGCAAAGUCAAUAGCAGGGGAUAAUUGGCUUUCUUCUAUGACAACUCUUGUCAAAUUUGAUAUAAAUUGGUGUUGAAAAUGCAAGCAUCUGCCACCUUUGGACCAUCUCCAUUGUUUGAAAUAUCUCAGUCUUGUUGAGUUUGAUUCUCUGGAGUAUAUCUCAGAUAAAGAUGAUUCUUCCUCUUUUUCAUCUGCAUCAACAACAUUCUUCCCGUCCCUAAAGAUUCUUGAACUCUGGAGCUGUCCUAAUCUGAAGGGAUGGUGGAGAAUGUGGAUGGAUGCUGAGCUAGUGCCUCAGUUUCCUUGUCUUUCUCAGUUAGUCAUUGAUAAUUGCCCUUACCUGACUUUGAUGCCAACAUUUCCAUCUCUGGACAAGAAGCUAUGGCCUUCCAAUGCCAACAUAAGACCAUUGCAUCAGACAUUGAAGGUGAAGAUGAUGACGCGAACAGCUUCCACAUUGCCAUAAAUGUCUUAUUCUCCUUCUUCAGUUACUGCUCCACUUUCCAAAUUAAAGUCAUUAACCUUAGAAUCCAUGGAGAAUCUAGCAUCUCUACCUAGAGAUUGGAUGCGGAACCUCACCUCCCUUCAGAAACUAAGUAUCGACUUUCUUGCCAAUUAGCAAAGUCACCAGAUCUACAACUGCCCCAAUUUGGCAUCCCUGCCAAAAGGAAUAUGUCAAAUCACUACUUUACAAGAGUUGAGGAUUAAUGGUUGCCUUCAUUUGUCUGAAAGGUGCAGACAAGAUGUGGCUACAGAUUGGCCCCACGUUUCUCACAUCUCAAAUAUCAGGACUAAUGGGCAUUAUAUUAAAUAUCAGGGCUGCUACUUAUUGGAAGAGGAACGAUCCUCUGCUUCUGUGGGAAUAGAAGCAAGUGAUGUUUGUCCUGUGAUAGCUAUCUACAAGUUGUAAUUGACUUAAUAGGAUCUAUUCAUUCACUAUCUUUCAGGAAUGAAGCAAUUUUGAAUUGAAGCUUGUCUUCAACAUAUUUCUAUUACCAACUAUUACCAAGUAACAAAGCUAAGGUUAAAUUCACAUGAAAAAGAUCAUCAGCUGCAUCUACAAGAUAUAUUUCUCUCCAUCUGGGCUGGAAGGAUGUUGACAACUGGAAUUAACUCUUAGGGUAGACAUGUAGAAUCAAUUUUGCAUUUUGAAGCAAUGGGAAUCUGCAUUUUGAAUCAACUCUUGGAAUAGGCAUUGUCACAUCUCUUUCCCUUCAAGAAGCUAGUGACAUCAGAUUGCAUUGGUUAUCAAUGGGUGAUGAUGGUGCACAACUGACCAUGAUGUCACGUUCCCUUAGCCAUCAUCUUUCCAAUAUUCCGAAGGUAUCAAAUUUUAAGUCUUGCAAGGACUUUAUCAUGCAUCAUAAUUCUACUGCCACAGAUAUCUGAUAAGGAAAAUUUAAUGUGCUUCAAAUUACUGUAUAUUUUGCAUUAGCCAGAAUACUUUAUAUAUUUUCUGGUCAGAGUUGCAUAUUGAGAGCAAGAAGAUGGCUUGGUAUCAAUAUCAUCUCAUCAAAGUAGGACGGAUUUAUUUUACCUAAUUAUGUGAUAAUGAAUUGAUAACUGUGUUGAUCAUAUUGUUCAGUGGGCCUUCAAAUAUAAAAUAUUAUGUCACAUUCUUUAAGGAGAAAGAAGCUAGGCAAGAACAUCAGCGAUAGAGCAAGCAGAAAGGGGAAAAUUUUAUAGGGAGAUGGCAAAAAUGAACGCCGAGCUGAAAAGAUGGAUGAGUAGGGUGUUAUAUUUCUUCCUUUUUCAGAUUAUACUCAGUGCAGAUAAGGGGUUCAGAAUUGCUAUUGGUUGUGGAGACAACAGAAUAUUUUAACAACAUGAAUAGCUUUGGCAACCCAUUCCCCUAGUUUCUUGUCAUCUUUACUUUUAAAUUGACAAAAUUUGGCAUAUCACGCUUCUAUAUUAAUUUUUGAUAAUAUUCAUUUCCAAUUAUAGAACAUUUCAGGGUCCAUGUGUUGAUGCAAACUAUGGAAAAAAGUGCAUCUAGCAAUCUCUAUUAGCAUCCACUUUUGUGUAGGCACAGAGCAAGUGUGCAAUUUACAUCAAAUGUAAGUACCAUAUGUUUUUAAUUAUCUUGCCAACUUAUUUUUGUCAAAAUUCUUGGGUUUGGAAUUGUUUCAUCAUGUAAUAAUAUUCAUCAUGUUAUAAAGGGAGCUUAACCUUAACAGAGCGCAUCUUCUUAUGUGUCCUGUGCUAUUCCACUUCUAACAAAUUACUGAUGAGAAGGCAGUGAGUUGAUUAUAAAAGUCUGAUGGGUACCUUCCACUUCAUCUUCUUAUAUGUCUAAGAUUAUGCUUGUGUAGGCUGUAUGGGCUUUCACAAGCUAUUAGAAAACCUUAUAGCAGAUAGUCUCUAAUUUUAUUUUACCUGUGCAUCUAAGUGUAGAACAAAUUUUCAUUCUCUCGGUGCAGCAAUUUGGUGAAAUUCCCACAUCGUUGCUUAAAAGAGAAGCAGUGAAAUGCAUCUCUGAGUCAUUGAACAACGAAUACACACAGCUAAUGUGAGAGAAGAUCUGUCACUUGUCAAAGGUAGUUUGAAGUCCAACAACUAGCGACUGACAAUAGUCAAAGUAAAUAAAAAUCACGAGUCUGAUAUAUGUUUUCUUUGUUUCUUCCUUCCAAAUUUCCAUUGUUCUGGUCCUCUUUUACAAGUACUGAGAGGUUCAUUUUUGCUGUUGUGGAUGGAUAUGGAGGCAACUGAACAUUGUUCAUGGAAUGGAGAAUUUUGGUAAUACAUUCUCUUUUUUCUUAGGAUCUGAAACCUUAUAAUAUUUAAAGGCCAAAACAAAUCAAGAAAAUUUGUCCACCAUUGUUCACCUUUUUUUUAAAAAAAAAAAAAGAAAAAAAAUAAAUAUAAUGUCAGAGCCAAAGUAAAAUCCACUGCCUACCUUGUCCUGUCUUCACUUUCAUCUUUAAAAGUUAACAACUUUUAUUCUGAUAAUAUAUUCAGAUGUCGCAGGAUAAUUUCACUAAUCUUUGACUAUCCAUUGGAUAAUGGAAAAUAUUGCUAGCUUAACUCUGAAAUCAUCCAGUGCCUUCAGUUGAUAUCACCAGGAUGCAUUUAUUUUAUGUAAUAAACUGGUGCCGUUGUGCAGAAGGAAACUUUUGCUACUUUCGGAUUUUAGGAAGGAAUGAAGCAAUUUGAACUUGAAGCUUCCUAAUAAGGGCGACAAAUCUUCAAAAUAUUUCGCUUUUCCAGUAUUACAAAGGUUUGAAAUCUGGUGUUGGUUUCUAAACUGGUGGUUUAAUCUCUUUGAUUCGUGAUAAAUCCCUGGCAAAGUCCUUGGUUAAUCUCUUUUAUGCCAUAAUGUGGUGCACAAAAGAGAAGGAUCUGGAGUCUCUAAAAAUGGAGCUUCAAUACUUUACCAAAUUGCAGUGUCUCCAGAUAGGAAAUUGUUGUAAUUUGACUGUUUUGCCAGCCUGGAUGGGCAACCUCAAAGGAAUGCGUCAAAUCACCACUUUGGCAGAACAUUUCUCACAUCCCAAAUAUAUGGAUUGAUGAGUGGACAAUUCAAAAGGGCUGCCGCUACUUCUCUUUAUAUAACGUGCAACUGUAGAGGAAUGAUUCUACUAAGCUCUGACAAUCCACUGGAUGAUAGAACAAAUUACUAGCUCCAUUCUUGGAAUUAUAUGUUGCUAGUGCACACAACAAACCUUUUUCUACUUUUGGAUUUUGGAAAGGUAUAGCAAAACUUCCUUUUUUUCACCUUAAUGUUCAUAGGCAGAUAUCAAAACUUCAAAAUGAAAUAUUAUGCUCAGUUUAAGAACUUUAAUCUCUUACCAGUUUCAGCCUCCCGCUGCAUUUGAACAUCUAGAGAAUAUUGUACAUAUAUAUAUAUAUAUAUAUAGUUAAAGAUGGUUGGUACUUUUAAACUGCAAUUCUAGUGAAGGAUCUUUUUGAAGUUUUCCAAUUCGUUUCAUGUAUAAUUCUACUUUGUGUGGAGUUAUUUCAAUUGUUUCACACUAAUUAAGUAAUUUAGAAUGGCUCAUAUCAGUUUGAUUAAUGAUACAACUCCAAAUGUUAUGAUUCUUCAAGUUCUGACCGUCUGCGGGGAAUAGAAGCACAUGAAGCUUGUCCAGUGCCAGUUGAUAUAUAGAAGUUGUAAUUGCCUUCAAUAGGCCUACUCAUCCGCUACAUAUUUGCAAUGGAUUAGCCGUCACGGGCAAUUUAUGAUCUGAUAUUUUGGUUUUUCUUUUUAACUUUGUACAGGAUUCAAGUGAUUUUGUCUUGAAGCUUAUCUUCAACAUAUCUCCUUUUUCAAGUAUUGCAAGGUAUCAAAGCUAAGGUUAAUUCCGGUGUAAAGGAUCAUCAGCAACUUCUGCAAGAUGUAGUUCUCUCCAUCUGGUUGGAAUGGAAUAGACAUUUAAAACCAAUUUUGCAUUUUCAGAGGCAAUCAAAAUCUGCAUUUUGAAUUAACUCUUGGAAAUAGGUAAUCCGUGUCUAAAUUUUGUCAAUGGCUCUUCAACUUACAUUGCCACAUCUCUACCCUUUUGAGAAGCUAGCUAGUGACUUAAAAGUGCAUUGGUUCUCAAUUAAUGAUGAUGGUGCACAACUGACCAUGAUGUCAUCUUCCCCUGGCAAUCAUGCUGCAAUUCAGCCACUUAGGAUCAUGUAAUGUAUUGUCACCUCCAGCACUUCUGUAGUUGCAUCAUUCAGAUAUAUUUAUUUUCUUUGGGCAGUUUGCUCUGAAUUAUAUAUUAAUCUAUCCAGACUGAUUUUUCUGAAAUUAAUGCAAUGUAUCCAUGUGCUAAUCCUUGUAGGCAUUACAAUAUCCAAAUCAAUUGAAGUUCUUAUAGAACAUUUUAGUUGGUAGAGAAUUAAAUAAUUGGAAGAUAUAGGAACAUGUUGACUUGUUUUUA